GGAAAGGCGCGCGAUACAGGGUGACAGCCCCGUACACAAAAAUGCACAUGCUGUGAGCUCGAUGAGUAGGGCGGGACACGUGGUAUCCUGUCUGAAUAUGGGGGGACCAUCCUCCAAGGCUAAAUACUCCUGACUGACCGAUAGUGAACCAGUACCGUGAGGGAAAGGCGAAAAGAACCCCGGCGAGGGGAGUGAAAAAGAACCUGAAACCGUGUACGUACAAGCAGUGGGAGCACGCUUAGGCGUGUGACUGCGUACCUUUUGUAUAAUGGGUCAGCGACUUAUAUUCUGUAGCAAGGUUAACCGAAUAGGGGAGCCGAAGGGAAACCGAGUCUUAACUGGGCGUUAAGUUGCAGGGUAUAGACCCGAAACCCGGUGAUCUAGCCAUGGGCAGGUUGAAGGUUGGGUAACACUAACUGGAGGACCGAACCGACUAAUGUUGAAAAAUUAGCGGAUGACUUGUGGCUGGGGGUGAAAGGCCAAUCAAACCGGGAGAUAGCUGGUUCUCCCCGAAAGCUAUUUAGGUAGCGCCUCGUGAAUUCAUCUCCGGGGGUAGAGCACUGUUUCGGCAAGGGGGUCAUCCCGACUUACCAACCCGAUGCAAACUGCGAAUACCGGAGAAUGUUAUCACGGGAGACACACGGCGGGUGCUAACGUCCGUCGUGAAGAGGGAAACAACCCAGACCGCCAGCUAAGGUCCCAAAGUCAUGGUUAAGUGGGAAACGAUGUGGGAAGGCCCAGACAGCCAGGAUGUUGGCUUAGAAGCAGCCAUCAUUUAAAGAAAGCGUAAUAGCUCACUGGUCGAGUCGGCCUGCGCGGAAGAUGUAAC
rnacentral:rRNA from 1 species